rnacentral:ribozyme from 1 species
AAGAUGAUACAAAAGAUAGAAAUUUUGCAGAAAAUGUGGAAUAUUGGUUUGCAUCAGCCGAGUUCACCACAUUCCUUUUAUUUUGUUUUUUUUCGAGUUCUGCUUGGUGCUUUGUACGAUUUUCUU